rnacentral:rRNA from 1 species
GACGAACGCUGGCGGCGUGCUUAACACAUGCAAGUCGAACGGAAAGGCCCUGCUUUUGUGGGGUGCUCGAGUGGCGAACGGGUGAGUAACACGUGAGUAACCUGCCCUUGACUUUGGGAUAACUUCAGGAAACUGGGGCUAAUACCGGAUAGGAGCUCCUGCUGCAUGGUGGGGGUUGGAAAGUUUCGGCGGUUGGGGAUGGACUCGCGGCUUAUCAGCUUGUUGGUGGGGUAGUGGCUUACCAAGGCUUUGACGGGUAGCCGGCCUGAGAGGGUGACCGGCCACAUUGGGACUGAGAUACGGCCCAGACUCCUACGGGAGGCAGCAGUGGGGAAUAUUGCACAAUGGGCGGAAGCCUGAUGCAGCAACGCCGCGUGCGGGAUGACGGCCUUCGGGUUGUAAACCGCUUUCGCCUGUGACGAAGCGGGAGUGACGGUAAUGGGUAAAGAAGCACCAGCUAACUACGUG